AGUUGAUCAUGGCUCAGGACGAACGCUGGCGGCGUGCUUAACACAUGCAAGUCGAACGGUGACGGAGAGCUUGCUCUCCUGAUCAGUGGCGAACGGGUGAGUAACACGUGGGCAACCUGCCCCAGACUUCGGGAUAACGCUUCGAAAGAGGUGCUAAUACCGGAUACGAACUCCUUGGGCAUCCUUGGAGUUGGAAAGUUUUCGGUCUGGGAUGGGCCCGCGGCCUAUCAGCUUGUUGGUGAGGUAACGGCUCACCAAGGCGACGACGGGUAGCCGGCCUGAGAGGGCGACCGGCCACACUGGGACUGAGACACGGCCCAGACUCCUACGGGAGGCAGCAGUGGGGAAUAUUGCGCAAUGGGCGAAAGCCUGACGCAGCAACGCCGCGUGAGGGAUGACGGCCUUCGGGUUGUAAACCUCUUUCAGCAGGGAAGAAGCGAAAGUGACGGUACCUGCAGAAGAAGCACCGGCUAACUACGUG
rnacentral:rRNA from 1 species